AUACGUAGGUGGCAAGCGUUGUCCGGAAUGAUUGGGCGUAAAGGGCGCGUAGGCGGCGCGGUAAGUCUGGAGUGAAAGUCCUGCUUUCAAGGUGGGAAUUGCUUUGGAUACUGCCGCGCUUGAGUGCAGGAGAGGUUAUCGGAAUUCCCGGUGUAGCGGUGAAAUGCGUAGAGAUCGGGAGGAACACCAGUGGCGAAGGCGGGGAACUGGACUGCAACUGACGCUGAGGCGCGAAAGUGUGGGGAGCAAACAGGAUUAGAUACCCUGGUAGUCCACACUGUAAACGAUGAAUGCUAGGUGUAAGAGGUAGCGACCCCUUUUGUGCCGGAGUCAACACAAUAAGCAUUCCGCCUGGGGAGUACGGCCGCAAGGUUGAAACUCAAAUGAAUUGACGGGG
rnacentral:rRNA from 1 species